rnacentral:rRNA from 1 species
UACGGGGGGGGCAAGCGUUGUCCGGAAUCACUGGGCGUAAAGGGUGCGUAGGCGGGUCUUUAAGUCAGGGGUGAAAUCCUGGAGCUCAACUCCAGAACUGCCUUUGAUACUGAAGAUCUUGAGUUCGGGAGAGGUGAGUGGAACUGCGAGUGUAGAGGUGAAAUUCGUAGAUAUUCGCAAGAACACCAGUGGCGAAGGCGGCUCACUGGCCCGAUACUGACGCUGAGGCACGAAAGCGUGGGGAGCAAACAGG